CCUCUGCCCCCUUGGCUCCAUCAUUGUUUGCGGGGAGACUUCUAAAUCUUUUCCUGUUCUUUCUACUUUUUUAUUUCUUUAGGUGCAUAAAAGCAGUAACAAGUGUCAAAAAUUUGAUGAACAUUCUUCCCUUUGUCACUUCCUUCAUCCACAACUAGAAGAGCAACAUAUUCACGGUUUGAUUCUGAUUUAUGUCCUUUGUAGUUCGUUCUUGAUACCGCAUGUUCGUUGAUGUUUAUGACCAGGUUCGUUCGGGUUUAUUUUGUUUCUUUUAAUUGCUGAAGAAAGGGGUAAUAUUGAAGUUUGAGAACAGUACAUUUCAGAUUCUGGGUGUCUGUUGUGAUUUCUUGGAUGCCCUUUCUGGGAGCUGAUUAUCCAGCUUAAUUUCUCUGGUGUUAUUUGACGAGAUCUAACAUGUUCAAUGCAUGACUCUGUGGAUUAAAUCUUUGCAAAGUAUAGCAUGUUUAGUGUCUCCUGUAAUCUUCAGAUCUUGCUACUCUGAUCAAUGAUUAUGCUUUUCAAUCUGUUUGAGAAGUGUCUUUGCGCUCAAUAUUGGUAGUAGUAGCAGUUGUUGGUUUUUGUUUUUUUUUUUUUGUGGUGUUCCCUUCAAGCAGUGGUUUUGUACUUGGUUAUUUGCUAUUCACCAUGUGCUUCUUUUACCAUUUUUGUGAAUUUGUUGUACAAGCUCAUCACAUGCCAGAGCCCAGAGUGAAAAAUCUAUAAAACUUUGGCAUGAACAUUCAUACUUCUACAUAGUGAAAAAUCUUUAAUUUUGGUAUGAAGACAACAUAGACCAGCUUACGCACGACUUUUGAUCACAUUGAUAUGCGCAUCUUGGUGAGCAUACACAUUUCUUUUCCUUUUUUCCACCCUCUUGGUCAUAUCUUAUACUUGGUUAUGCACAGACCCUUCCGCAAUAUAUAACACCGGGAUUACAUGAAGCCAAAACUCCAACAAUCAAUCUCGCUAGUGGACACCGAACAUAUUUUCUUGGAAUGACUGCGGCCAAAUUUGAUCAAAACUGGACCACAUUCGUUGCAGACCAUGAAUUUCGAAAUGGCGAAGUUGUUCUCUUCAUGCCCCAAUCCAAAUCCUGUUUUUCCAUCAUCAUCUUCGAUCGGAAAGGGAAUGAAAGAAUGUAUCCAUGGCACUAUAAUUUUAAUAUUUAGCCUCAUGUUCUUUCCGUUUUAAGUUCAUUUUGUUUCUUUCUCAGACGUUGAAGGACUAUGCUUUAAUCAGCUUUGUACCUUGUUUUACACCUUUACUGCUAACUCUGUUUUCCUUGUGCUUCUUUAUAUUGCCUUUCUUACACUAUACGUUCAGUCUCUUCAUGCAGCGUUCCUGCUCAUGAUACUGCGCUGGGCAUUAACACUUUUAUUCCUACCGCGCAGCGCGCGGUUCUUGCCUCCUAGUACAUGGAGAAGGGCAUCUCCUAGUAUCUGGAAUUGGUUGUGUUUCAUUUUUGGUUUGGUUAUGCCUUGAGUAAGAUUUCUACUAGGAUCCUCGUUCAGAACAACAUAUACUUAGUUUGUACUACAAUCAUCAUCAUCACAGGGGCCCCCUUCCAAUUCAAAACAUUGUUUGUAGAUCAGUGUUUCGAUAUUGGCCUCCGUCCAAAGUUUCUGACACUAUGUGUGACUCGCCUCUGACUAGGACUGCUGUUGCAUUUUCUUGACUGGUUUAUCCGGAAAGACUUUGCUGUACAGACUCCCACACUAGGAAAGAUUGCUGUUACAGUUUUAUGACUCCAGCACUUCGAUUCAGAGACAGGGUCCCAAAACUUGUUUCUUCCUUUUGAUCUUCUUUUACCAAUCAUUCAUUCGUCUUUGGGCUGUUCACCGGCUGCAGUGAAUACUUAAUCUCCCUGGUGUUAUGGCUUUGAACGUCCGAAACUGUUGUGUGGGUGGAUAAUCUCACCCAUCCUAUGAUCAUUAUUGCCGUUAGACAAUACAUUGGCUGGUUCUUUGUUCCAUUUAAAGGGGAAGGAAAAAAAAAAAAAAAAA